rnacentral:rRNA from 1 species
GAAACGGCUACCACUUCCAAGGAAGGCAGCAGGCGCGCAAAUUACCCAAUCCCGACACGGGGAGGUAGUGACAAUAAAUAACAAUACGGGGCUCUUUCGGGUCUCGUAAUUGGAAUGAGUACAAUUUAAAUCCCUUAACGAGGAACAAUUGGAGGGCAAGUCUGGUGCCAGCAGCCGCGGUAAUUCCAGCUCCAAUAGCGUAUAUUAAAGUUGUUGCAGUUAAAAAGCUCGUAGUUGAAUUUCGGGAUUGACGUGAUGGUCGUGCCUUAAGGGGUAUGAACUGUCGCAGUUGAUUUCUCACCUUCUGGAGAAGCAUGAUGUCCUUAAUUGGGUGUCAUGUGGAACCAGGACCUUUACCUUGAAAAAAUUAGAGUGUUUAAAGCAGGCAUUUUGCUCGAAUACAUUAGCAUGGAAUAAUAGAAUAGGACGGCAUGGUUCUAUUUUGUUGGUUUCUAGGAUCACCGUAAUGAUUAAUAGGGAUAGUUGGGGGCAUUAGUAUUCAAUUGUCAGAGGUGAAAUUCUUGGAUUUAUUGAAGACUAACUACUGCGAAAGCAUUUGCCAAGGAUGUUUUCAUUAAUCAAGAACGAAAGUUAGGGGAUCGAAGACGAUCAGAUACCGUCGUAGUCUU